rnacentral:rRNA from 1 species
UACGUAGGGAGCAAGCGUUGUCCGGAAUUACUGGGUGUAAAGGGAGCGUAGGCGGGAUGGCAAGUAGAAUGUUAAAUCCAUCGGCUCAACCGGUGGCUGCGUUCUAAACUGCCGUUCUUGAGUGAAGUAGAGGCAGGCGGAAUUCCUAGUGUAGCGGUGAAAUGCGUAGAUAUUAGGAGGAACACCAGUGGCGAAGGCGGCCUGCUGGGCUUUAACUGACGCUGAGGCUCGAAAGCGUGGGGAGCAAA